rnacentral:rRNA from 1 species
AGAAUCAACGCUGGCGGCGUGCCUAACACAUGCAAGUCGCACGAGAAAGUGGAGCAAUCCACGAGUAAAGUGGCGCACGGGUGAGUAACACGUGAAUAAUCUACCUCCGAGUGGGGAAUAACUGAGAGAAAUCUUAGCUAAUACCGCAUAACACUUACGAGUCAAAGCAGCAAUGCGCUUGGAGAGGAGUUCGCGGCCGAUUAGUUAGUUGGCGGGGUAAUGGCCCACCAAGACGAUGAUCGGUAUCCGGCCUGAGAGGGCGCACGGACACACUGGAACUGAAACACGGUCCAGACUCCUACGGGAGGCAGCAGUGGGGAAUUUUGCGCAAUGGGGGAAACCCUGACGCAGUAACGCCGCGUGGAGGAUGAAAUAUCUUGGUAUGUAAACUCCUUUCGAUGGGGAAGAUAAUGACGGUACCCAUAGAAGAAGCCCCGGCUAACUUCGUGCCAGCAGCCGC